CAAAGGUCUUCAUAAUACUUAACAUUCAAUGGAGCAAAAGGAGAAUAAUGAGCACUGCAGCCAUCCCAGGUAUCUGUACACUCAUUUUCCUGGGUUUCUGACUUGGAAAGCCUCUCUGCACUGCAGUACUUGCU
rnacentral:lncRNA from 12 species